rnacentral:rRNA from 1 species
UACGUAGGGAGCAAGCGUUGUCCGGAAUCAUUGGGCGUAAAGCGCGCGUAGGUGGCUAUGUAAGUCCGUUGUGAAAGUCAAAGGCUCAACCUUUGAAAGCCGAUGGAUACUGCAUAGCUAGAGUACGGAAGAGGCGAGUGGAAUUCCUGGUGUAGCGGUGGAAUGCGCAGAUAUCAGGAGGAACACCAAUAGCGAAGGCAGCUCGCUGGGACGGUACUGACGCUGAGACGCGAAAGCGUGGGGAGCAAACAGG